rnacentral:rRNA from 1 species
AACGCUAGCUACAGGCUUAACACAUGCAAGUCGAGGGGCAGCGCAGUGUAGCAAUACAUGGGCGGCGACCGGCGCACGGGUGCGUAACGCGUAUCCAACCUUCCCGUUACUCAGGGAUAGCCUUCCGAAAGGGAGAUUAAUACCUGAUGGUGUUUGAAUUCCGCAUGUUAUUCAAACUAAAGAUUUAUCGGUAACGGAUGGGGAUGCGUGACAUUAGAUAGUAGGCGGGGUAACGGCCCACCUAGUCUACGAUGUCUAGGGGUUCUGAGAGGAAGGUCCCCCACACUGGAACUGAGACACGGUCCAGACUCCUACGGGAGGCAGCAGUGAGGAAUAUUGGUCAAUGGUCGGAAGACUGAACCAGCCAAGUAGCGUGAAGGAUGAAGGUUCUAUGGAUUGUAAACUUCUUUUAUACGGGAAUAAAACCUCCCACGUGUGGGAGCUUGUAUGUACCGUAUGAAUAAGCAUCGGCUAACUCCGUGCCAGCAGCCGCGGUAAUACGGAGGAUGUGAGCGUUAUCCGGAUUUAUUGGGUUUAAAGGGAGCGUAGACGGGAGAUUAAGUCAGUUGUGAAAGGCUGCGGCUCAACCGCAGCACUGCAGUUGAUACUGGUUUCCUUGAGUUCGGUUGAGGUGUAUGGAAUUCGUGGUGUAGCGGUGAAAUGCUUAGAUAUCACGAAGAACUCCGAUUG